AUGCGGAGCGAAUCAACAACAAAAACAUCAGAUCCACAUAAAAACCACGGCAUCGCCUAUGCGCCAUUAUUGUCCAAAACUCGGUGAAAUUGGUUGAACUUUUCUAGAGAUGGACAUAGUAGUGGUUCUAGCACUAGUUGUGCUAGCCUUUGUCUUCAUUCUAUCGCUUCUCAUCUUAGUCAUCACAUGUCAACGGAGAAGACUUUCCCGAGCCAAAUCAAAGAUACUGGUUCCAUUCGAAACUCCACCAAAUCGAUAUUCUCGUAAUGCAGCAGCAAUCAACAAUAUCGAUGAUAUUGAGACAAUGGAGCAAUUGAAUGGUCUUCUAGAAGAACUUUUGGAUAGAAAUCAAUGGCUGUUUGAGGCACGUGGAAUCAUGCAACACGUUGUAGCUGUACUCACGAUCAGCAAGAGUGUUACAACGAAAUUGUCUGUAAUUCAACUUCCAACAUCUCCAUCACCAUUCCACGAUGCAAUUAAUAUGGCGAUGCGUAACAUUUACCCACGAUUCGAUGAUCUUGUGGAAAGUCUUGCUGCUCAACCAAUUGAUAUGCGUCUGUUGGAAGCACGAGCUCUAUCAUUGGGUACUGUAUGCUGGUCACUAUACUUGCCGUAUACACUUUUGGAUGCAAAAUAUAAGGAAUUGAUGCAGAAGCCAUUGAAUGAAAUGAAUCUUCAUCUAGUAACAAUCAGAACUGCAGCACAUCUUGUUUCUAUGGCAGAAAAAGGUGCAGAAGAUAAGCUUAAUAUCGUCGAUUUGAAAGAUCAUUUGAUGCGAAUGCGACGUCAAAUCCGGGGAGAUAUGUUGCUUGAUGAUGAUUAUGAGACAGAAGAUGACUUGGAUGAUGUAGAAGAAGUUGAUGACGAGGCACAUGAUCCAGAUGGACUUGUUGUCAAAAAUAAAAUCGGAAAAGAUCAUGAAAAGAUCCCGUUGGUCGAGUCAGAAGCAAUAAUUGAUAUGAUCGAGUUGACCAGAGUCCCCGUCGUCGAGCAAGAACAACUCUUGAAGAGCAACGGUGUAUCUGAUCAAAAACAUACACCAAUUCUACAUCUUCACUAUCAUCAUCAUCAUCCUCAUCACAUGACCAAUGGAUCGUUGAAUACUGUUGAAGAGAUCAAUGAGGAUGAUCAUCACGGAGAAGGAACUUCAACGUCAUGUUCUUCGUCAUCGACAUCUUCAGCUUCCUCACAUUCCGCUCACCCAAUCGACCCAAAAGCAUGA
rnacentral:misc_RNA from 1 species